CAAUAUGAAAGUCUUGUCCAGAUUCAAUCCCAGCCAAGUAAAUGGAAUAUUCAAGGGUACUUCUCCAAGCUCCAAUUUUUCUUUUUUCUGUCGAAUCCCAAGUCACAAAAUUGAUCUUCACACCACUUAUCGUAUUCAUGUACAGGAUGAUCAUUUUGUUUGCAUUAAAAUUUCUUUGUAUGCUAGUUGCAAAAUAAAUUUUACUUUUACAAUAAUGCUAUACAUCCAAAU
rnacentral:lncRNA from 1 species